AUGUCAUCCCAGGAUUCAGAAGGAGAAAGCUAUGUGGCUGAUUACCUUGCAGAUCCCAAGGUCUAUGGGGAUGUAGAGCAUUGUGAUUGGACUACGGAAGAAGAAGAGGACUAUGAACCUAAGGGAAAGGAGGAGACGAGCUCAGAUGAAGAUGAAGUCCCAUUACCUCAACCCCGGGACAUGCAUGUGGAGUUCAAAAAGUCAAGCCUUUCGGAUAGAGCAAAGAAACCUAAGAUCGAGUUUAUCCCUUUUCGCCUCUUGCAGGAAAACAAGCAAGAAUUAUGCAAAAGGAUACUAAGCCUGGAGCAGGAAAUCGAUGACCCGAGGGAUCAAAAUUCUGUCCUCAAGCGCAAAUUAAGGAAGAAGCCUAUGCCAUCAACAAAACCAUCAUCUUCUUCAUCAACAAAGAAGAACUGA
rnacentral:rRNA from 1 species